GUAUUAGAAAAUGUUGAAGUUUGAUACCCAUAUUGCUAAACUUGAACGAAAAAUAAUAUUUUACCGCUCUUGGGCCGGUUCCCUGAGGGUCCCUGGAGUAGAUUCCAAGCAGGGAUCCAGCCUGGAACUGGUUACAUAGCCUAAUUUGCUUCUGAAAAUAUCACUGUGGUCUAGAUUAUGAAAAUUUGUUAAUAUGAAACUGGAUUUUCAGCAGUUACUCUAAGAAAUUGAGUGGCGAAAGGAAGUUGGGGUCAUUUUUACCGGAUGUGACCCAGUGACUCACCGGAAUAGCUCCGGAUAGCCGGACAAUUCAAAAAUGACCAAUAGGUUUCCUAAAACUAGGCAUCAAAACAAUGCAAUGGUCAAAAAAUGAAAGAAAUCGGUUUAAAAUUGACGAAAUGGCAGCCAUUUGAAUUUUUUUCUUUCUGUUGGGCGGAUACGGGUUAAGAACCCAAAUCGGUUGAUAGACGGCUGAGAAAUUUAUGGUGAUACACUUUGUCAAUAAUAUCUAAAAUAAUUAAGUUGUACUACUCCCUAGCACUCUUUGAAAGAUAUCUCGGUAACCAAACGUCCAAUCAAAAUAAAAUUCAAUAGCGUUCUACUAGGAUGUAGUAGCUUUCAUUUGCUUCCAAGAGAACUCAAAUCGGUCAACAGACGGCUGAGAACCGUGAGUGACAUUUUUUGUAACAUACAUACACACACACACAUACACACACGCACAUACAGACAUUUGCUCAAUUCGUCGAGCUGAGUUGAUUGGUAUAUUGUCGGGCCGCCACCAAACCGGACUUCGCACAAUCAAGUGGCGACGCGACCCAACUCGCGACGUUUUUAAAUCAUGUCAAAGGUAGUGCGCAUCCUUCCCGUUGUUGUCAGCAACACAGCGCACUAGAUGCAAAAUAGUUGCGACACUUGUGGACCAAGAAAAUGGCAAUUUUUGAUUGAAUGUCGGUCUUGAUUCCAACCGGAUAGACAAUAUGUGACUCGGCCCUGCGGGCCUCGGAUCGAAAGUCGGUUUUCCAAGCGGUAUUUAUACCCUUCUUAUGGGUAUAAGAAGGGUAAAAACACAAACUUAUUUACAGACCACUUAUUAUGCUUUUGGUCGAAAUCCGAAGUGACCGAACGUGCGAAAAUUGAUUUUUUACCUACUUAGAAAUGUCGCAACUCAAUAUGGAUUAGUGCAUAUUGUACACCGAAAAAAUUUCAAACUUAAAGAUUAUGUAGUUGCCAACCUUAUAAUUCAUAAGACUCCCGAAGUAUUAUUUUUAUGUGUGUGGCUAUAAACAAUAUAUCGAGCAUUUUAAACUGUAUGCGUUGGUCAAUAAGAAGUAUGUGCGUCUAUAUAUCGUUUAUAUUUGCGCAAACAUAACAAUUAUAACGAAUUUCGUUAUAGUUAAAAAUUAUAGAAGUUCACACAUAAUUAUAAUGUUUGGUUAGAUUCGGUUUAGACACGGUUUCUAACCAAGUUUGCAACGGCUGAAAAUUCUGCAAACGCCAUUACAGCCAGAGUCGAAGAAUAUCAUCAUGCGGAGGCCGGCCAACUUGCAGUAGCUUCGGAGGAUAAGCUGGGGACAACCAUCAAAGCGAUACUGGAUAACAAAAGUUCGGACAAGAGUGGAAUCCGGAGGAAGCACCACCAGUCCGGAGAUCAGCGAGUUAAGGCAUUUUAGCAGCGUUAUCUCCUCCGGAACCGCCGUCGGCUGCCUACUCCAUCGUGGGCACUUGUCCUUUAAUUCUCGGUUAAGGGACAAAAGAGACGGCGAGAUGAGAAGUUCAUUACCAUCGUACCACAUCGUACCCACUUCGACGACAGGUGUACCUCACGGCGAACUGUUCCGGUAUCCGGACAUUGUUUUCCCUAAAGAUAUCCAUCAGAAUCAUAUCCUUAGAAUGGGGCAGCCGUCAAGGAUCAAGGAACAGAACAAACUUAGUGGGAAACAGCAUCCCCUGGAACGACGGUGGUAAGAAACAACAUCCCCUCCUUCCUUGCUUCUUUCCGUGGCUGGAAUUCCUAGGCCGGAAUGACACGACCAGCAGCGGGAAAAGGAAAAAUGGCAACUAUUCUAAUUAUAUCUAGUUUGUAUUGAUUUUCACUUGUUUCAAUAAACGAUUAAUAAUAUUCUGAUAAAAUUGUUUGUUUUCGUUUGUUUAUGGCCCGAAUAAUGAUUUGUAUGUAAAAUUCAUACAUAAAUUUUAUAUACCGCUCAU